GAAGGUGUGUCGUGAGGCAUGCUGGAGGUAUCAGAAGUGCGAAUGCUGACAUAAGUAACGAUAAAGCGGGUGAAAAGCCCGCUCGCCGGAAGACCAAGGGUUCCUGUCCAACGUUAAUCGGGGCAGGGUGAGUCGACCCCUAAGGCGAGGCCGAAAGGCGUAGUCGAUGGGAAACGGGUUAAUAUUCCCGUACUUGGUGUUACUGCGAAGGGGGGACGGAGAAGGCUAUGUUGGCCGGGCGACGGUUGUCCCGGUUUAAGCGUGUAGGUGUGUGUUCCAGGUAAAUCCGGUUCACUUUAACACUGAGGCGUGACGACGAGGCACUACGGUGCUGAAGCAACAAAUGCCCUGCUUCCAGGAAAAGCCUCUAAGCAUCAGGUAACAUCAAAUCGUACCCCAAACCGACACAGGUGGUCAGGUAGAGAAUACCAAGGCGCUUGAGAGAACUCGGGUGAAGGAACUAGGCAAAAUGGUGCCGUAACUUCGGGAGAAGGCACGCUGACACGUAGGUGAAGUGAUUUACUCAUGGAGCUGAAGUCAGUCGAAGAUACCAGCUGGCUGCAACUGUUUAUUAAAAACACAGCACUGUGCAAACACGAAAGUGGACGUAUACGGUGUGACGCCUGCCCGGUGCCGGAAGGUUAAUUGAUGGGGUCAGCGCAAGCGAAGCUCCUGAUCGAAGCCCCGGUAAACGGCGGCCGUAACUAUAACGGUCCUAAGGUAGCGAAAUUCCUUGUCGGGUAAGUUCCGACCUGCACGAAUGGCGUAAUGAUGGCCAGGCUGUCUCCACCCGAGACUCAGUGAAAUUGAACUCGCUGUGAAGAUGCAGUGUACCCGCGGCAAGACGGAAAGACCCCGUGAACCUUUACUAUAGCUUGACACUGAACAUUGAGCCUUGAUGUGUAGGAUAGGU
rnacentral:rRNA from 1 species